rnacentral:rRNA from 1 species
GGAGUUAGCCGGUGCUUCUUCUGUGAGUGAUGUCCUUCCUGCCGGCUAUUAACCCGCAGGCCUUCUUCCUCACUGAAAGUGCUUUACAACCCGAAGGCCUUCUUCACACACGCGGCAUGGCUGGAUCAGGGUUGCCCCCAUUGUCCAAUAUUCCCCACUGCUGCCUCCCGUAGGAGUCUGGGCCGUGUCUCAGUCCCAGUGUGGCUGAUCAUCCUCUCAGACCAGCUACGGAUCGUCGCCUUGGUGAGCCGUUACCUCACCAACCAGCUAAUCCGACAUAGGCUCAUCCGAUAGCGCGAGGCCCGAAGGUCCCCCGCUUUCCCCCGUAGGGCGUAUGCGGUAUUAGCCUGGGUUUCCCCAGGUUAUCCCCCACUACCGGGCAGAUUCCUAUGCAUUACUCACCCGUCCGCCGCUCGCCACCAGGGAGCAAGCUCCCCGUGCUGCCGCUCGACUUGCAUGUGUUAGGCCUGCCGCCAGCGUUCAAUCUAAGCCAGAAUCGAACCCUGA